UGAUUGUCACCUUUUGGAGUAGA
rnacentral:miRNA from 1 species